rnacentral:rRNA from 1 species
AGUGAACGCUGGCGGUAGGCCUAACACAUGCAAGUCGAACGGCAGCACAGUAAGAGCUUGCUCUUACGGGUGGCGAGUGGCGGACGGGUGAGGAAUACAUCGGCAUCUACUUUUUCGUGGGGGAUAUCGUAGGGAAACUUAUGCUAAUACCGCAUACGACCUACGGGUGAAAGCAGGGGAUCUUCGGACCUUUCGUGACUGAUUGAGCCGACGUCGGAUUAGCUAGUUGGCGAGGUAAAGGAUCAGCAAGGCAACGAAGCGUAGCUGAUCUGAGAGGGUGAUCGGCCAAACUGGAACUGAGACACGGUCCAGAAUCAUACGGGAGGCAGCAGUAGGGAAUCUUCCGCAAUGGGCGAAAGCCUGAAGGAGCAACGCAGCGUGAGUGAUGAAGGUCUUCGGAUCGUAAAACUCUGUUAUUAGGGAAGAACAAAUGUGUAAGUAACUAUGCACGUCUUGACGGUACCUAAUCAGAAAGCCACGGCUAACUACGUG